AGUGAACGCUGGCGGUAGGCCUAACACAUGCAAGUCGAACGGCAGCACAGUAAGAGCUUGCUCUUACGGGUGGCGAGUGGCGGACGGGUGAGGAAUACAUCGGAAUCUACUUUUUCGUGGGGGAUAACGUAGGGAAACUUACGCUAAUACCGCAUACGACCUACGGGUGAAAGCAUGGGAUCUUCGGACCUUUCGCGAUUGAAUGAGCCGAUGUCGGAUUAGCUAGUUGGCGGGGUAAAGGCCCACCAAGGCGACGAUCCGUAGCUGGUCUGAGAGGAUGAUCAGCCACACUGGAACUGAGACACGGUCCAGACUCCUACGGGAGGCAGCAGUGGGGAAUAUUGGACAAUGGGCGCAAGCCUGAUCCAGCCAUACCGCGUGGGUGAAGAAGGCCUUCGGGUUGUAAAGCCCUUUUGUUGGGAAAGAAAAGCAGCAGGUUAAUACCCCGCGGUUCUGACGGUACCCAAAGAAUAAGCACCGGCUAACUUCGUG
rnacentral:rRNA from 1 species